AAAACCUAGGGUUGCAACAUAAUUCUUUCCAAAGGGAUUCAAGCUAGGGUUUGGGUGUUCUUCAUUAGAAAGUGAAUUGUUAAACCUUGUUUAACAAAUUAAGGUAACGGAGAAGAGCAGGUUCUUGACACUUCAGGCGCUUAGAAAGGACACGCUGUUGCUGCUGAUUUGGUGAGCCCACAUCAUUGUUCGUGGGACACUUCCUGUUUCAUUUAUUAUUUUAGAUUUCCGGGCUGCGUCCCGAAGUUUGAGGAUUGUUAUGUCUCUUAGAAGCUCCAUAGAUAGUUGUUAGAAUUGUGGGUAGAUUGUCAAAAGUCUCGUACGACUUAAUGGGUGUUUGCCACGUUGAUGGCUAGUACUUAUAAAGACUUCCGCUGAUUUAACUCAUGAUGUGUUGCAUUUAAUUUAUAAAUUGUUGGAGGCGAAUGUUGAACC